rnacentral:rRNA from 1 species
UACGAAGGGGGCUAGCGUUGUUCGGAAUUACUGGGCGUAAAGCGCACGUAGGCGGAUAUUUAAGUUAGGGGUGAAAUCCCAGGGCUCAACCCUGGAACUGCCUUUAAUACUGGGUAUCUCGAGUCCGAGAGAGGUGAGUGGAAUUCCGAGUGUAGAGGUGAAAUUCGUAGAUAGUUCGGAGGAACACCAGUGGCGAAGGCGGCUCACUGGCUCGGUACUGACGCUCAUGCACGAAAGCGUGGGGAGCAAACAGG